GGUAGGCAUUUGCCCUGGUGGAACGCCUCGUCAGAGCAGUGCACAGCAGGACCCCGUGGAGGAUCAACACAGUGGCUGAACACCGGGAAGGAACUGGCACUUUAAGUCCGGACAGCUGAAACUUGUUGCAGGUGUUGUGUCUUGGAUCCAUCACAGUCAGCUAACACCGGCAGCUCAGGACAAGUGGACCAGCCAGCAGGACGCAGAUCAUCCAACCCGGCUGAUCCUGAGAUGAGACCAAGCUGCUGCUGAGGAAGACAGCCCUGCUCUGGUCACUCCGGAGGCUGACCAGUCUACACGCGGCUGAAGCUUGAGGAGACAACAAGCCCUGUUCUAGUCACACACCAACAGCUGACUAGUCUAUGCACGGCUGAAGCUUGAGGACUCAUCAAGCAAGUAAAUGUAGUUAAAAAUCUUAAGACUAAUAGUUUUCCUGUAAUACUGUUUUCCUAUUGUUCUGUUGCUGUAUUCAACCUUUUUCCCAGAUCUAUAUGGCUGCCAACUAGAAAUUCUGAUCAGCAGGAAACAGGCAGUGUUACUGCACCAAGUGACUCCUGCCAGAAGCUAACACAAAAACAAAUCAACAGAAAAACUUGGGUUACGGAGUGAUGGUGUGAAGCCCUGCCACCUUUGGAUAUGUGAUUCCUGUUAGCCCUUACUACCAAGAAUGUUCUUGAGUACUGCCUCUGAGGACUGAAGUGUUCAAGAAGGCCCGACUGGAAACAGUCAGCCAGGCUAACCCUUUUAUUUUCUGUAUAAGGAAACAGCCCCAGAGAAGGUAAGUGAUGGAAUCAGAACCAGGACACAGGUAAAUACCUAAGAUAGCCUCAUGUUUGGGCUUUGCCCUUUUACUAGCAUUCCUUAGCAGAAAACAGGUCAGUGAGGACCCUGACUAUACUAUGGGGCCUGAUCUUAUAGGGUAGAGACCAUUGCGUAUUUGCGUUUUUCUCCCCACGGGACCUAGCACACCGCCUGACCCCUGGUAAGUGCUUGUUACAUCCUCCCUGAGUGAGUGGGUUGCGAGGGAGUAGGCUGAGAGGGUGGUACUUGUUGCA